UAUAAAUAAUAACAACAAUAAAGGAAACCAUAGCAACAAGUGUAUUAGAAGUUUGAGCGACAACAGGUUACAGUACGUGCAAGUGCGCGUGUACUUCAGUAUGUACAGCCGGUAUAUUUAAACACAACAAUCUGGAUGGAUAGGAAUGAAUAUAACACGGGAAUUCAAAAGCGACAAAGAAAAAUAUCUUAGAGGGAUAAAGCCCAACGAGGCAGAACGAGCGCAACAUUCGCAGAGAAGGGGCAGUGAACGAACUCGAAAAGGGUAUUCAAAAUAAUUGACUUCAGAACAAUACUUUCUUUCCAGCUCCCGAAACAGACCCGGUUACAACCUUUGUGCGGCGAUAAAUUCGGACAGCAAGUGAAAGCUUUAGAAAUGGCGAGGAGCCGUUUAAACAUAGUUUUAAACAAUGAAUAAUACGCUCACAGGCGUCACAGCGCUGCUCGCCCUGUACCUACAGCAUGAGCGCAGAAAGCGCAAGCGGAGGGCGCAUGAGGCUCUAGAUGGCGGCAGGGAGAAACCUGUCAGCUCUCUGUCGUGGGAGGUCUGGAGCGGGCAGUGCCAGGGGCAGACAAAGUCCCGAGAGGAGACGAGAAGAAACAAUUAAAUGACUUGUUAAUGCCACACUGGCGUUGCCCGGGCACUUUAGGCAUUAUUUAGCAUAAUUUGAAACUGGGGUGUGACCGGUGAUGGGAGCUGUAGGGGCUGGUUCAGCACCGUAGUUAAACCGCUGCUGCGCUUUGGCACGAUUCCUCUCGGCCGACUUUGGUGGAGCCAGCGGAGAUACCCCGAUAGUGCAGCUGGGGUGCCAGACCAGCAGCAGGAGCGAGCAGGGUCCCCAAAUGCUCGGAGUCAAAGGACUUUGAUUAUCUAUCGGGUGCAAAACAGAUGAACUCUCGAGUCCUUGUUACUCCCCGGAGGCAGCGGCGAGUGCAGCUGAAGCACAUUCUACUGCUCUCCGCAGAAAAUCGAAAAUCCUACCUCCUGCCCGUCCGGCGGUUUGGGGGCGUGAUGUACGGUACAUGCUAGACGUGGGCAUUUUCUGAGUGCUACCGUUAAAAUGUACAGUAUAUAUGCAUUGUGUAAUGUAUAUCCGAUAAAGCUUUCUCACUCCAUAAGCAA